rnacentral:rRNA from 1 species
CCUACGGUGGGCUGCAGUGAGGAAUAUUGGUCAAUGGACGCAAGUCUGAACCAGCCAAGUAGCGUGCAGGAUGACGGCCCUCCGGGUUGUAAACUGCUUUUAGUUGGGAAUAAAAGGGGGAUCGUGAGCCCCGUAUUGUAUGUACCAUCAGAAAAAGGACCGGCUAAUUCCGUGCCAGCAGCAGCGGUAAUACGGAAGGUCCGGGCGUUAUCCGGAUUUAUUGGGAUUAAAGGGAGCGUAGGCGGGCUUGUAAGUCAGCUGUGAACGUGCGCGGCUCAACCGUGGAAUUGCAGUUGAAACUGGAGGCCUAGAGUGCUGACAGGGAAGCCGGAAUUCAUGGUGUAGCGGUGAAAUGCUUAGAUA